rnacentral:rRNA from 1 species
UGGCGGCAUGCCUUACACAUGCAAGUCGAACGGUAACAGGUCUUCGGAUGCUGACGAGUGGCGAACGGGUGAGUAAUACGUCGGAACGUGCCCAGACGUGGGGGAUAACGAGGCGAAUUCUUUGCUAAUACCGCAUACUAUCUAAGGAUGAAAGCAGGGGACCGCAAGGCCUUGCGCGUUUGGAGCGGCCGAUGGCAUAUUAGGUAGUUGGUGGGAUAAAAGCUUACCAAGCCGACUAUCUGUAGCUGGUCUGAGAGGACCACCACCCACACUGGGACUGAGACACGGCCCACACUCCUACGGGAGGCAGCAGUGGGGAAUUUUGGACGAUGGGCGAAAGCCUGAUCCAGCAAUGCCGCGUGCAGGAUGAAGGCCUUCGGGUUGUAAACUGCUUUUGUACAGAACAAAAAGGCUCUGGUUAAUACCUGGGGCACAUGACGGUACCGUAAGAAUAAGCACCGGCUAACUACGUGCCAGCAGCCGCGGUAAUACGUAGGGUGCGAGCGUUAAUCGGUAUUACUGGGCGUAAAGCGUGCGCAGGCUGUUUUGUAAGACAGAGGUGACCUCCCGCGGGCUCAACCUGAGAACUGCCUUUGUGACUGCAAAGCUGGAGUGCGGCAGGGGGGGAUGGAAUUCCGCGUGUAGCAGUGAAAUGCGUAUAUAUGCGGAAGAACCACCGAUGGCGAACGCUCUCCCCUGGGU